GACAGAGGGUGCGAGCGUUAUUCGGAUUUAUUAGGCGUAAAGGGCGCGUAGGCGGCUAAGAAAGUUAAAUGUAAAAUGCUAAUGCUUAACAUUGGUUGUGCAUUUAAUACUACUUAGCUUGAGUAUAUAAGAGGUAAUUGGAAUUCCUAGUGUAGGGGUCAAAUCCGUAGAUAUUAGGAGGAACAUCAGAGGCGAAGGCGGAUUACUGGUAUAUUACUGACGCUAAGGCGCGAAAGCGUGGGGAGCAAAAAGG
rnacentral:rRNA from 1 species